rnacentral:lncRNA from 1 species
AGAUUCUGNUGUCAAAUAAAAAUUUGAUUUGAGAUUAGGUUUUGCUAUUUACCAAAAUUUUUGGUUGAGCUUGUUAACUNGGCAGAUACAGUUGAGUACAGAAUAGUAAAGAAUGAAGUGUGGGGGAAAGAGUGGUAUUGCUGAGGUGGUGCCUCGAAUGCACAAAAUGCCCUUAGCUAACUCUGAAGAUUCAAUUGAGAAAGUAAUUUAAUUUUGGUCUUUGAAGUCAUGGAGAGAGUUACAGAGCAAAGAAAAUCCAACAGCCAAAGAGAAACCUGAUUUGGAGAUUAAGGCCAAAUGGCCGAGUUGUUGACUAGGCAGAGAGGCCGAACGCUUUGAUGAGGCCUGGUGGCCGAACGGUUGAAGCCGGAUGGCCGAGUCGUUGAUGCCUAAUUUGGCUAAGCACCUGUAAAGUCAGGUUUAAGUGAGUACAUGAAAGGUGAAGCUAUGACCGAAGAUUGAGGCCGAAUGGUUGAGUUGUUGACGAAGCUGAGAGGCCGAGUCAUUGUUGUUGCCAAGAGGCCAAAUGCUUUGAUGAGGCCUAGUGGCCGAACGGUUGAUGCCGGAUGGCCGAAAGGUUAGGACCUGAGGGCCGAGACCGAGCGACUUAAGAGGUUUCUCUGAUGUUCCUGAGAACACUGCUCACCCUUUCCUUAUGGCUACAAAUGGGGAUUCGUUUUGUUCCAUCCCGACCAGGAAAACUGAUACAGGGAGAGGAGGUGGAUGUUUUAUGUCAGUCUUUAACAAGGCUAAACAUUGACCAGGCCGCUUCACUCCAUGUAUAUAGGUUCAUUCCAUGUAUAUGGGUCGGGUCAAGUCGGGUAUUAGUUAGCAAAACUAGACAUAGACAUUUAUAUGGAAAACUUCUUCACUCUUUGUAUUUAGUAGUGUACACGACUUACUUGGUCACAAACACACAUAUUAUUACCAGGCCACAAGUCGUUGUUAUCUGACUAUAGUUCUCAGCCUCUAGGGCCACUUCUUGGCGAUCCGGCCUCAACUCUCGGCCAUAAUUUUGACAUAG